CGCAAGCGGUGGCGCAUUGAUGCAACUAUCGGCUCAGAAGCACCCUAACGGCGAAGUAUAGUUUACAAGUUAUUAGAGUGGUAAAGCCACUUAUGAGGCGUUCAGGUGAUUAGCCUAUAGCCGCAGUCGAAGAAAUAAGUAGGGCAAAACGAAUGCUAAAGGUGAACAAAUCGGAUAAAGGUCGCACAUUGGUUCGGAUGACGAAUCCAGGUUCAAAAUUUGAAGGUGACGAAAAUCUGCACGUGCCACAAAUGCAUAAAGAUCCGCAGUCGGCCGAUUGCGAUCUAUAAUUACACAGCACACUGCGUAAACUACAAUUUAGCCAGAAAUGAACUGUUCGGAUAAUGGAGCAUUCCGGCGAUAGAACGUUCCGAUAGCAUGCAUUUCGAUAAUGUCCUGAUAACGGUGCAACUACUAACAUCUGUUGAUUCAUUAGUGAAUUAACAAAAAGAUUAGCUGUUAAUUAAGAUGAUUCUAUUGAAAAAUCGCCGUAGUGUCCGGCUGCUCGUGGGCGGACGGUGUUUGUCUAAUUAGAUUGAACCGUUGAUUGAGCUUACUCUGCUUCCUCGAUGGUUUCCGUCAUGGCGAGGAAGGCACAAUUUAAUAUUAUCGUAGCCAUGACCAUGUAAUCGAAGUACUGAUUCGUACUUAGGAAGAUACAAUACCGUCUUAUAGGAUUCCACGGUGAGAAUAUGAACCAGCUGUUCGUCGCUGUGAACCUAUGGAUGUAGUUCUUACGAAAUCUCUUCGAGACCACGCAAAACGUCUGGAACAAAAAGAAACAAGUACCAUCGGGUCUCUGUUAGUUCUCUCGAAAAGUAUUUAGAGCGCGUUUAGUUGGUCACGUGACGGGAACAAUGAAAUUUCGCGAAUUCGCCGCGUUCUCCGUCGUCGUAAAAACAUUUGUCGAAUUAUCCAGCGAUCUCUUUUGAUUGCGAUAAAUCUUACUGUUUGUUAAUUCAGAAAUAAUCGAAGUAUAUUCAGCGUUGGCGAGAUUAAUUUCUUUUGAGAGAACUCGAGCGCGGCACUGCUCCUCCGAAAAUUAUUUGCCGGAUUAGGGUCCAUUUAACAGCCCUGCCGCGGGACCAAACAAAAAAUUCGCACGAUGACGCUUGCCACUCGGUGUCAAGGCCGCGAUUGAUGAUUAAUAAAAAGCCUGGUUGGUAGAUCGGCCCGCCGGCUCGCCAUCGCAUCGUUCCCGAAAUUUUUCUUUGGCAACGCGAAACGAGGGAAAAGCAAAGCUGAAAAUUAUUUAGCGCGUUGUCGACGGUCUUUCGCUGCUGGAACUGCUCGCUAAUGACUUAACGCUUCGCGAACCCGGUAAUUACUAUUGUACACGGUAUCUGCGUGAAAAAAUACGUGGAAAACGAGCGGCGAAACUUGUCGAUACGACCGCCCGUUUUCGAGAUAAUCGACGUUAAAGACGCGCGCCGGUUGCCAUUAUUUUCACUCGUCGCGUCGACCGAACAUUCGGAAUUUGUCUCCUCGAAAACGAAGGCUUGUUUGGAAAAUUGUUGCCUCUAACUUUUCGCCCCAGUUUUUCAUGGAGAAUCACCCCCGGACAUCGAUUUUACCCGUAGCUACCGUACACAGCUGGCGCGAAAGUGCAAAUAAAGUGUCCAUGCAGACGUGAAA